GACGAACGCUGGCGGCGUGCUUAACACAUGCAAGUCGAACGAUGAACCAGGGCUUGCCCUGGGGAUUAGUGGCGAACGGGUGAGUAACACGUGGGCAACCUGCCCCAGACACCGGGAUAACCAUUCGAAAGGAUGGCUAAUACCGGAUAUGACCACUUCGGGCAUCCGAUGGUGGUGGAAAGGAUUCUGGUCUGGGAUGGGCCCGCGGCCUAUCAGCUAGUUGGUGGGGUAAUGGCCUACCAAGGCGACGACGGGUAGCCGGCCUGAGAGGGCGACCGGCCACACUGGGACUGAGACACGGCCCAGACUCCUACGGGAGGCAGCAGUGGGGAAUAUUGCGCAAUGGGCGAAAGCCUGACGCAGCGACGCCGCGUGAGGGACGAAGGUCUUCGGAUUGUAAACCUCUUUCAGCAGGGACGAAGCGAAAGUGACUGUACCUGCAGAAGAAGCACCGGCUAACUACGUGCCAGCAGCCGCGGUAAGGCACGACUGU
rnacentral:rRNA from 1 species